ACUGCUUAGGCCACGGUGAGUCGGUACCGGGGAGGGAGGAGAUGGGGAGGGAGGAGAGAGAGAAGAGAGAGAGGGGAAAAGGAGCCUGCGUGAAUGUGAGCGUCGGUCUCGCUCCCUCUCAGAACAAAAUGCCGACCGGAAGUGCAGCUGUAGGAAUGACUCCCUCCACCGGCGCCAAACACCAACAACCUCCCCUUUUUCUCUCUCUCUCCUUCUUCUGUUGCUGCUUCUGUUUCGCUUGCUCACUGCUUUCCUGCCUCUCUAAGCCGAGAGAUCCAUCCAUGCACUUGCCGGGGAGGCUUUUCAGUCUGCGUCGCCGCGCAGACAGCUGAUGGCAGCUCCGAGUUGCGUAUAUGGGUGCUUUGCUUUUCUCUUUUUAUCCGUUUUUCUUUCUUUCUUUCCCCCACUCCUCUGUUUUGCUGUAUGUAUAUACGGAAGGCUGGAGUUUGCAAAUAAAGGCCUGGUGUUACGAGGAGAAGAUCUACGAACUGUCAAGAUGAGGCACACGACUGAAAUACUUAAGCAAAAUAAAUUGUCCAUUUUUUCUAUCUUUUAAAAAUGAUAAAAGCCACAUGAAGAGGAUUGAAAAUACGAAGAACUCCCAAGGAAGAGGAUGAGUGGAAAUUUAGAAAAGGGGGGUGGGGGAAUACCUGCUGCAUUCUUUCAUAUCCAGAUGGAAUAUUGGAAGCUUGUUUCCGCUUACGCCUGGUUUUCUUUUAUUAAAUUUCUCGUUCGUGCUUGCAUGUGUGCUUUUAUAAGGUGUUGAUCCUGAUCGCCAUAUCGUCGGAUUUGAAGUUCUCACUGUUGAAAAUUCUGGUUUCCAGAUGGGCAUGCUUUUCCAAAACCGUUUUUUCUGAAAUAGCGUUGAGGGGGGAAUCCGUGAUAUUGAAAUGAAGGCUCCUUCGCUGGAAAAUUGAGAUGGUUGUUGACAGAUUUAUUGCAAAUAGUGUAAUAAUGGGUUGAGAAGGCAGCCUUGGAAGAAGGGGACAUUGACGGACUUGAAAGCCUAUCUAUUUUCUCUUCAGGGAAAUCCCCGUUCUAUGAUGGGAAACACUGAUUGCAAAUAUAUCAGCACUUCUGCUAGCUUUGUAGUGACACCAGCCUUCUAGAGAGAAGAUUUGCAUUCAUCAAAUAAUCUUGAUAACUAUACAAGAACCAACUUGGAUGAAGCGGAUAAAGUGUUGGGCAAGAGUGGGUGAGACCCGCAUUCAAGUCCCUGCUUAGUCACAAAGCCACCGCAUAGCCUUGGAUAACAUAGUUAUAUGAACACAGCCUCAGUUCAGCACUCAGGGAGGGUUGACAAAUGCAACAGAUACAUCAUGUGAGGCUGGAGCCUUGUUCAGUUGUUAGUAGAGGUGAUGUGCGCAUUUCAAGCAGGAGUGAUCACCAAAAGCUGCUACAAGCUGGAUUGGUGCAAGGACAGCCCUGCUCACAGCCUGUUUCAAGCAGGGUUGUGCUUGCUUUAGUCCAGCAAGCCACUAUCCCUCUGCCAACAACUUAGAUAUGAGACAGCAGAAGAUGUCACUGGAGAAUGCUCAUGAACUCCUACUUCCUUUCUUUUUCCACAGUGAGCUUGGAUGAGCAGCAUUAGAUUCCUCAGAUUCAUUUCUCAUUAUAGGGCAAGCCUUGCCAUCACAAAUGGACAUGAAUACACUGCAGACAUGUGUUUUGCCACGCUGGUGGUGCAUGUUGCUGCCCCUACCCAAUUUUAAUUAAGCAGCAACUUAAAAAGUUUACCCACAUUUUAAUUUGUAAGGAAAAGAUGAAUAUUUUCAACUUCAGUGUUCUAUCCUAUCUUGCUUUUAGGUUAUAUAUGUUUGCAAACAUACAUAUUUGAUGAUAGAAUCGCCUUCAAAAAUACAUAAAUUGGGUACCCCGGUCUAGAUUUGUUUUCUUUUAUUAACUUGCCAGGUAGCUUUUUUCUCUUCCGUUUAGGAACUUCAUACCUGCAGCAAAAGCUAAAAACCCAGUAUAUAAAGAAGAAAAGAAUGCUGUAAUCUGUGUCCAAAGCUAGCAUUGUUUGUACAUGAAAUCAAUUCUCAAGAGAGACAUUGAUAGAUCAGUAUGUCACAGCUUUGUGUAAACAAAGUCAUGUGAAUUUGAAUGCUUAAUAGAGACCAGAAGAGAAUAGUAUAUCUGAUAAUAUGAACAAAGCAAAGUUCUAUUUGGCUGUGCAAAUAAUGCAUGACAUUUGUAGAGCUAAUAGUCUCAAGAGUCAGCAGGUAGAAAAGGACGUUGAAUUAAAAGUGUACAUAAGGGCACUGAAUUAAGCUAGAAUCCACACGAUAACUUGUCUGACAUACAAUGUAGAGCAUACAUUCUAUAUUAACAGUCUGCACUAAUCUAUAAAUAGGUUAUUUGGUUAUUGUGUGGCUGAGAAACUAUUGUUGUUACAGUUCUAUUAUCACCUCCUGCAGACUUUGAUUUCUUCAUUCUAUUGCUCUUGGUAGCAUAGUAGCUCAUUAUUACUAUCCCCCCACCCUGAAGCAUUAUGGCACCAAUUAGAUUCUAAAAACUCAGUGAUGGACAAUAUCAUUCCAGAAGAAACAAGAAACAUUUCUUGCCUUGUUGUUAUAUUGAGUGUUGGUUUUAAUCUCACAC